rnacentral:rRNA from 1 species
GAUGAACGCUGGCGGCGUGCUUAACACAUGCAAGUCGAACGGGAAAUAUUUCAUUGAGACUUCGGUGGAUUUGAUUUAUUUCUAGUGGCGGACGGGUGAGUAACGCGUGGGUAACCUGCCUUAUACAGGGGGAUAACAGUCAGAAAUGGCUGCUAAUACCGCAUAAGCGCACAGAGCUGCAUGGCUCAGUGUGAAAAACUCCGGUGGUAUAAGAUGGACCCGCGUUGGAUUAGCUAGUUGGUGGGGUAACAGCCCACCAAGGCGACGAUCCAUAGCCGGCCUGGAGGGGGGAAGGGCACAAUUGGGAAUGGGCCCCGGCCCAGACCCCUACGGGGGGCAGCAGGGGGGAAAAUUGCACAAUGGGGGAAACCCUGAUGCAGCGACGCCGGGGGAAGGAAAAAGUAUCUCGGUAUGUAAAUUUCUAUCCGCAGGGAAGAAAGUGACGGUCCCUGACUAAGAAGCCCCGGCUAACUACGU